rnacentral:lncRNA from 1 species
CCCCAUUCCCAGGGGCUUCCUCCCUACUCCCAGCCUGCAGCUGCUCUUCGAGUGGCCCCUCCCUCUUCCUCCUCAUCCUCUUCUUCCUCUAGUCCUCUGUCUUCCCCUGCAGGCUCUAAGUUCUCUCUCUCCUAUGAAGGCUUCUCUCUGCUUCCUGGAAGCCUCUAUUAUUGGCAGCUGCCCCAAGCCUUCCUGGGGAACAAGGUAAUGAGGAGUUGGGAUUAUGACAAAUCAGUAGACUGAGGCCCAUAGCAGGGAAGGAACUUCCUUGAGGCCUCAUGUACAGGUCCUCCUGCAACCAAGUACUAAGUAGUCACUGUGUGCUGUGCUGUGUACAGGCAGAAGAGCAGUGUCCCGGAGCUCACUGUGGGUCCUGUUCUCACAGUCAUUGUUGACGUUCUUGCGUUCAGCAUUGGCCUUAGCAUUAAUACUGUGUCGAUACUGCUUCCUGUCUUGUUCCUCAAAUGACACAGAGC